CUCAAAGUCUCUCACGCGCCUCUCUCUCUCUCUCUCUCUCUCUCUCUCUUUCUCUCACAAACAGAGAGACGCAGACCCUGUAGAAAAAACGCCUUCGCACUUCACUACCUGCCUGUCGUUUUUGUUACAUCGAAAAAGAAACGGGGUUUUCCCCCCUGUGUUAUCAAAAAAAGAAAAUGAAACGGAAGUCACUUCUCUCUAUAAAAUCUCUUUCUUUCUAAUUGGGUUUGCUGAGCUGAAGCAUGGUUGCCGGCCAAAUCUAGAGUAGCCCAUUUCAUGGUUGUCUACCAUUUGAAGGAAAUCUUCUUCUUUUGGGCAGAGCCCUUCCCGUUUUAGCUGGUGCUUUGUUUAAGGAGGUUCGGUCGGUGAAAGAUCAAUUCUUUGGGUCAUUUAUUUCUUAACUGGUGUCAAUAUUGAGUCCCUGAACAAAUCUAAGCAAACCCAUUUGGUCAGUGACAGUGGAAGAGGCUUCAAAUUAAAGGUGAUAAAAUAGAAGCGUCAAGUUUUGAGGACUAACCAGUGACUGUGAAGACUAAAUAAAACCGAAAGAGACUGAAAGAUGGCAGGCCUUCCUACGUCAUCGUUUAAGGCAAACACCGGUAGUGCCGCUGCAGAAGACCCCAAACUCGGUCUCAUGAAGCAGAUACGGAGCCACGAGGUUGCAAUUGCAGAGCUCAAUGCUCUUUCACCGUCUCGGGCUGUCUAUCAGAAGAAUGGGAACUUGUUUUUCCGUACAACAAUCCAGAAAGCAACGACAUCUGAACAAAAACAAAUUGAUUUGGCUAAAGCAAGCCUAGGAAAGCUGAAUUCUUCUUGAUAUGACUUGGCUUACGAUGAUGGUAGUCCUACAGCCUUUUAAGGAUUCAGUGAGUGAACCGCUUAUUGUUGCAGAUUCCUGUUGGUUGGGAGGUCGUGGGGAUUCUUGUCUCACCCAUUUUCUUAUUUCCAAAAUGGGCUUCUACCGUGGACAUAAUUUUGUGAACAAUACAUGUAGAGACUUUUAGACAGAAGCAUUAUGUUUCAGAAUUUUGUACAAAUACCAUUUGAAGUAUAGGGGUUAUGAGGUUAUAAAUAUACAUCUCUCCCUCCUGCCC